rnacentral:rRNA from 1 species
UACGUAGGGAGCAAGCGUUGUUCGGAUUUACUGGGCGUAAAGAGCGCGCAGGCGGUCGUUCAAGUCGCGUGUGAAAGCCCCCGGCUCAACUGGGGAGGGUCACGCGAUACUGAUCGACUCGAAGGCAGGAGAGGGUAGUGGAAUUCCCGGUGUAGUGGUGAAAUGCGUAGAUAUCGGGAGGAACACCAGUGGCGAAGGCGACUACCUGGCCUGUUCUUGACGCUGAGGCGCGAAAGCUAGGGGAGCAAACGGG